rnacentral:rRNA from 1 species
AUCUACGGCCAUACCACCCUGAAUGCGCCCGAUCUCGUCUGAUCUCAGAAACUAAGCAGGGUCGGGCCUGGUUAGUACUUGGAUGGGAGAUU